rnacentral:rRNA from 1 species
AUGACCAUGUCUUGCAAACUCUCAACUGGUGCAGUGGUGAGAUGGCCCCACUCAGUGGCAGCUGAGGCAUCGGCAUUUGGUGUGCUUUCAGGUCAUCUUGUGAUGAUGGCAGCAGGGCAAACCAAAAACAUGAAUAUUAGCGUAAACCUGUGCACAGAUCCUUUACAUUCCAUGGUGGAUUUUAUGUUUCAUUGUGGAUUUUAUGUUCCUUGUAUAGUUUACGUUCCACUUAGGGAGUUUACAUUCCACUUAGAUUUCACGUUCCAGAUUUUAUGUUUCCAUGCAAAUAACAUAAAUGUCGCAUGA